rnacentral:rRNA from 1 species
GAUGAACGCUGGCGGCGUGCCUAAUACAUGCAAGUCGAGCGAACAGAUGAGGAGCUUGCUCCUCUGACGUUAGCGGCGGACGGGUGAGUAACACGUGGAUAACCUACCUAUAAGACUGGGAUAACUUCGGGAAACCGGAGCUAAUACCGGAUAAUAUAUUGAACCGCAUGGUUCAAUAGUGAAAGACGGUUUUGCUGUCACUUAUAGAUGGAUCCGCGCCGCAUUAGCUAGUUGGUAAGGUAACGGCUUACCAAGGCGACGAUGCGUAGCCGACCUGAGAGGGUGAUCGGCCACACUGGAACUGAGACACGGCCCAGACUCCUACGGGAGGCAGCAGUAGGGAAUCUUCCGCAAUGGGCGAAAGCUUGACGGAGCAACGCCGCGUGAGUGAUGAAGGUCUUCGGAUCGUAAAACUCUGUUAUUAGGGAAGAACAAAUGUGUAAGUAACUAUGCACGUCUUGACGGUACCUAAUCAGAAAGCCACGGCUAACUACGUG